rnacentral:rRNA from 1 species
AGGACGAACGCUUGCGGCGUGCCUAAGAAAUGCAAGUCGAGCGGAAGUAGCAAUACUUUAGCGGCGAACGGUCGCGUAACACGUAGCCAACCUGCCCAGAAGACCGGGACAACACUCCGAAAGGGGUGCUAAUACCGGAUGUGCCCAUUUUGCCACAUGGCUUAAUGAGUAAAUCAUUUAUGGCUUCUGGAGGGGGCUGCGGCCUAUCAGCUAGAUGGUGGGGUAAUGGCCUACCAUGGCGUCGACGGGUAGCUGGUCUGAGAGGAUGGUCAGCCGGACUGGGACUGAGAUACGGCCCAGACUCCUACGGGGGGCAGCAAUUAGGAAUCUUGCGCAAUGGGGGCAACCCUGACGCAGCGACGCCGCGUGGAGGAUGACGGCCUUCGGGUUGUAAACUCCUUUAGUCGGGAAGAACAAAUGACGGUACCCGAUGAAUAAGCCCGGCUAACUCCGUGCCAGCAGCCGC